GACGAACGCUGGCGGCGUGCUUAACACAUGCAAGUCGAACGGAAAGGCCCUGCUUUUGUGGGGUGCUCGAGUGGCGAACGGGUGAGUAACACGUGAGUAACCUGCCCUUGACUUUGGGAUAACUUCAGGAAACUGGGGCUAAUACCGGAUAGGAGCUCCUGCUGCAUGGUGGGGGUUGGAAAGUUUCGGCGGUUGGGGAUGGACUCGCGGCUUAUCAGCUUGUUGGUGGGGUAGUGGCUUACCAAGGCUUUGACGGGUAGCCGGCCUGGGAGGGUUAACGGCCACAUUGGGACUGAGAUACGGCCCAGACUCCUACGGGAGGCAGCAGUGGGGAGUAUUGCACAAUGGGCGGAAGCCUGAUGCAGCAACGCCGCGUGCGGGAUGACGGCCUUCGGGUUGUAAACCGCUUUCGCCUGUGACGAAGCGUGAGUGACGGUAAUGGGUAAAGAAGCACCGGCUAACUACGUG
rnacentral:rRNA from 1 species